UACGAACUGUGCAAACGUUAUUCGGAAUCACUGGGCUUAAAGGGUGCGUAGGAGGUCAGGCAAGUCAGUGGUGAAAUCCCCGAGCUUAACUUGGGAACUGCCGUUGAUACUAUCUGUCUUGAAUACCGUGGAGGUGAGCGGAAUAUGUCAUGUAGCGGUGAAAUGCUUAGAUAUGACAUAGAACACCAAUGGCGAAGGCAGCUCGCUGCACGAAUAUUGACUCUGAGGCACGAAAGCGUGGGGAUCAAACAGG
rnacentral:rRNA from 1 species